AUGACGUCAGUAGUAGACAUGGGAAAAGAUUCUGCGUUAACUUUCAGGUGUGUUGGUUGUCAACGCCCAAGUCAGUUUUAGAUCGAAGAAAUCAGUGUUAAUCUAUUCAUUGUUGUUAUGAAAUGAGACAUGCAAAUUAAAAUAUACAACUAGGUUUCGAAGGAGAAAUGAUUUAGACAACCUGAAUUGGAUGUUUUGGGCAUUUAUAUCAUUGUAGCAGAAACAGCAACAUGUUUACAUUGUCAGGAGAGAGUCUGUUUCUUUCCUCAGAAAUUAGUUCCCCAGCAGAAGAAAAAAGUUGUUCACAUGGAACUGAUAUAGCCGCAAAGGAUCCGAGUUGCGAGGCUGAAGGGGUAAGAUGUUAUAUUCUUCCCUCAGAAUUAUUCUGUUGGCUUCUUUGUUUGGUCCUUGGGCAGUAAUGUUGGCGUUUGACAUGGCGAAAGCUUCAUCGUGUCCUUCCCAGAUCGAAAACUGGUUGUGUUGCAUAGAUUGAGCUGCCAAUUGCUGACUAUCUUUACCUCUCUCCUCUGAACUGAAAACGAUGUGGUUUCUUGUUCUUUUCUCGGCCUCACUGGAAACCACACUACUGAAAUAGAGAUCCAGUUUCUUAAAUCUG